rnacentral:sRNA from 1 species
GCUGGGCGUGGUGGUGCAUGCCUGUAAUCCCAAAGGCUCUGGAGCCUGAGGUAGGAGUAUCUCGAGUUCAAAGCAGCAAAAGUGAGACACUAAGCAACUCAGGGAGACCCUAUCUCUA